rnacentral:rRNA from 1 species
GUCCACGCCGUAAACGAUGUCGAUUGGAGGCUGUGUCCUUGAGACGUGGCUUCCGGAGCUAACGCGUUAAAUCGACCGCCUGGGAGUACGGCCGCAAGGUUAAACUCAAAUGAAUUGACGGGCCCGCACAAGCGGUGGAGCAUGUGGUUAAUUCGAUGCAACGCGAAGAACCUUACCUGGCCUUGACAUGUCUGGAAUCCUGCAGAGAUGCGGGAGUUCCUUCGGGAAUCAGAACACAGGUGCUGCAUGGCUGUCGU